AGCAAGCUUGGGAAGGGCCACAACUCCGGAAGAGAGAGGGCCGCUGUAGGCCAUGAAGAAAGAGCAGGGCAGAGAGGACACAGAAGGCCAGGCUGGGCUCCUGUCACUGAAGGCUGCCCAGAGAAGCCGGCUAGACCUCAGGAAACCUCGGAGCAAAUUCACCAUUUCCAGAAGGACCUUUAAUCCAGUAGUCUCUUUGCGGGCUGGGGCUUUAGCCAGGCAUCAAGACUUGGACCGCAAGGAGUUUCUGCAGGUAAUCUAUGUUGUUAUGACAUUUACGAGUCCAAAUUGUCAUCCCCUCCAUUCUGAAGGCACAGCAGACUGCACACUUUUAUGACUGUAUCCUUCAACCAUUCUCCUUAUUUUUUUGCUCUUGGGCUGAUCAUUCUAGCUG